GAUGAACGCUGGCGGCGCGCCUAACACAUGCAAGUCGAACGAUUAAAGCACCUUCGGGUGUGUAUAAAGUGGCGAACGGCUGAGUAACACGUGGGCAACCUGCCCCUUUCAUUGGGAUAGCCACGGGAAACCGUGGAUAAUACCGAAUACUUCGAGACUUCCGCAUGGAAGACUCGAGAAAGCUCCGGCGGAGAGGGAUGGGCCCGCGGCCUGUUAGCUUGUUGGUGGGGUAACGGCCUACCAAGGCAAUGAUGGGUAGCUGGGUUGAGAGACCGACCAGCCAGAUUGGGACUGAGACACGGCCCAGACUCCUACGGGAGGCAACAGUGGGGAAUCUUGCACAAUGGGCGAAAGCCUGAUGCAGCGACGCCGCGUGCGGGAUGAAGGCCUUCGGGUUGUAAACCGCUUUCAGCAGGGACGAGGCGAAAGUGACGGUACCUGCAGAAGAAGCCCCGGCUAACUACGU
rnacentral:rRNA from 1 species